rnacentral:tRNA from 1 species
GCGAGAGUGGCGAAACUGGCAGACGCUCCGGACUUAGGAUCCGGUGGGUGUAAAAACCCUUGGGGGUUCGACUCCCCCCUCUCGCACCA